rnacentral:lncRNA from 1 species
GAUUGCCCAUCAGAAAAAAACAAAAAGUGAAGGGCAACUCGGCAAGAAACGUAUCCUUGGAAUUGGUACAUAUCCAUGAAAUCUUGUGAUGCAUCUAUGAGGUGGUUGGAAUGGAAUUGCAGGCAUUCCCAGUGAGUACCGAUCAGACCCUGGACAUCUGAAAAUUCUUCCCAGG